UCAAGUACGCCCUGCUGAUCUGUGUGCA
rnacentral:sRNA from 1 species